rnacentral:rRNA from 1 species
GCCAGACUCCUACGGGAGGCAGCAGUGGGGGAUAUUGCACAAUGGGGGGAACCCUGAUGCAGCGACGCCGCGUGGGUGAAGGAGCGUUUCGGCGCGUAAAGCCCUCUCGGCAGGGAAGAAGGAGGACGGUACCUGACUAAGAAGCCCCGGCUAACUACGUGCCAGCAGCCGCGGUAAUACGUAGGGGGCAAGCGUUAUCCGGAUUUACUGGGUGUAAAGGGGGCGCAGACGGCAGCGCAAGCCAGGAGUGAAAGCCCGGGGCCCAACCCCGGGACUGCUCUUGGAACUGCGCGGCUGGAGUGCAGGAGGGGCAGGCGGAAUUCCUGGUGUAGCGGUGAAAUGCGUAGAUAUCAGGAGGAACGCCGGUGGCGAAGGCGGCCUGCUGGACUGCGACCGACGUUGAGGCCCGAAAGCGUGGGGAGCAAACAGGAUUAGAUACCCCGGUACG